GUGACCUCAAAUCAGGUAGGACUACCCGC
rnacentral:rRNA from 2 species